GAUGAACGCUGGCGGCGUGCUUAACACAUGCAAGUCGAACGGAAAGGCCAGUGCUUGCACUGGUACUCGAGUGGCGAACGGGUGAGUAACACGUGGGUGAUCUGCCCUGCACUUCGGGAUAAGCCUGGGAAACUGGGUCUAAUACCGGAUAGGACAAUGGUUUGGAUGCCGUUGUGGAAAGUUUUUUCGGUGUGGGAUGAGCUCGCGGCCUAUCAGCUUGUUGGUGGGGUAAUGGCCUACCAAGGCGUCGACGGGUAGCCGGCCUGAGAGGGUGUACGGCCACAUUGGGACUGAGAUACGGCCCGGACUCCUACGGGAGGCAGCAGUGGGGAAUAUUGCACAAUGGGCGCAAGCCUGAUGCAGCGACGCCGCGUGGGGGAUGACGGCCUUCGGGUUGUAAACUCCUUUCGCUAGGGACGAAGCGUAUUUGUGACGGUACCUGGAGAAGAAGCACCGGCUAACUACGUG
rnacentral:rRNA from 1 species